rnacentral:rRNA from 1 species
GGCUCAGGACGAACGCUGGCGGCGUGCCUAAUACAUGCAAGUCGAGCGGGGUUAUGUAGAAGCUUGCUUCUACAUAACCUAGCGGCGGACGGGUGAGUAACACGUAGGCAACCUGCCCACAAGACAGGGAUAACUACCGGAAACGGUAGCUAAUACCCGAUACAUCCUUUUCCUGCAUGGGAGAAGGAGGAAAGACGGAGCAAUCUGUCACUUGUGGAUGGGCCUGCGGCGCAUUAGCUAGUUGGUGGGGUAAAGGCCUACCAAGGCGACGAUGCGUAGCCGACCUGAGAGGGUGAUCGGCCACACUGGGACUGAGACACGGCCCAGACUCCUACGGGAGGCAGCAGUAGGGAAUCUUCCGCAAUGGGCGAAAGCCUGACGGAGCAACGCCGCGUGAGUGAUGAAGGUUUUCGGAUCGUAAAGCUCUGUUGCCAGGGAAGAACGUCUUGUAGAGUAACUG